GGGAGGCUGGUGACGGACGCGGCAGCGGGCAUGGCGUCACAUGGGAUGUGGCAAUGGCGAGGGCGUCCGAGAUGCAGGGGAGGCGGGCGACGGACGCGGCGGCAGAGACAGUGUCGCGGUGGUAGGGACGGUGUCGCGACGGCAGGAGGCCCUGCGCCUUCUUCCUCUGCUAGUCUGCUUCCUCCUUCACGCGGUUUGCUCCACGGGGG
rnacentral:lncRNA from 1 species